UGGACUUGGUUGAGAUGGUCUCAUCUGUGGGCAUUGACUUGGUCGAGAUGGUCCCAUCUGCUGGAACACGCUCCCAUGAGAUGUUCCCAUCUGUGGGCAUUGACUUGGUCAAGAUGGUCCCACCCAUGGGUGUGGACGUGGUUGAGAUGGUUCCAUCCGUGGGCAAGGACUUGGUCGAGAUGGUCCCAUCUGUGGGAACAUGCACCCAUGAGAUGGUGUCAUCCUUGGGAAUCGACUUGGUCAGCAUGGUCCCAUCUGUUGGAGAAGGCUCCCAUGACAUGGUCCUAUACAUGGGCACAGACUUGGUCAAGAUGAUCCCACCUGCUGGGACAUGCUCCCAUGAGAUGGUCUCAUCCAUGGGCAAGGACUUGGUCAACACGGUCCCAUCUGGGGGUGUGGGCUUGGUCAAGGUGGUUCCAUCUGUUGGGACAUGCACCCAUGACAUGGUCCCAUGGGUGGGCACGGACUUCGGUGCGAUGGUCCCAAAGGUGGGCAUGGACGUGGGCGCGAUGGUCCCAAAGGUGGGCACGUGCUCGUGCGAGACGCUCCUGUCCACGGCCCCACACCCGCGGGGCUCCUGCCAGAAGCCCCCACCCAGGGCCACGUCCUUGUACGAGAAGCUCCCACCUGUGGGCGACGCGGUCCCACCGGGUGGUGGGUGCUCACAGGAGAUGCUCCCACCCAUGGGCACGGACUGGGGUGAGCUGGUCCCAUGGGUGGCCACGGGCUCGUGUGGGGUGCUCCUGGACGUGGGGAUGGGCUCGGAGGUGGUGGUCCCAUGGGUGACCAAGUGCUCGCGUGAAAUGGUCCCAUACGUGGAGAUGGAUUCGGCGGAGGUGGUCCUAUGGGUGUCCACGUGCUCAUGUGAGGUGCUCCCAUACGUGAAGGCGGACUUGGAGGAGGUGGUCCCAUGGGUGGCCCCAUGCUCAUGUGAAGUGCUCCCAUAUGUGAAGAUGGAUUCGGAGGACGUGGUCCCAUGGGUGGUCACGUGCUCCUGUGAAGUGCUCCCAUACGUGAAGAUGGACUCAGAGGAGAUGGUCCCAUGGGUGGCCACGGUGGUCCCAUGGCCGUCCACGUGCUCGUGUGAGAUGCUCCCACCCACGUCCACGGGUGAGAAGCUCUCACACGCAGCUCCAUGGCUUGGGUGCUCCGUCAGCGUGCUCCCACCCCCAGACGUGCACAGGGGCGAGGAGCUCCCAUGGGUGCCCACGCGUCCCACCGGGGCGCCCCCGUACGCGGGGACGGGCUCGGAGGAGGAGGUCCCAUGGGUGGGGACGCGCUGGUGCGAGCCCCCCUGGUGACCAGGGUCGGACCCGUGGGUGCCACCACCGCCACCAGCGGUGCCACCACCGCCGUGGGUGCCACCACCAUGGGUGCCACCGGUGUCCCCGUGCUGCCCGUCGAUGGCCCCCUGCAGGUCCCAGACGCAGAGCUGGGCCUGCACCAGGCUGGCCCAGAAGACGUCGGCGGGCGCGGGCAGGGGGGGCCCGGGGGUCCCGGCGGCCGGGGGGGCGGCGUCGGAGAAGACGAUGGCGUCCUGCGCCGCCAGCGCGCCGGGGGGGCGGCCGCCACCCGGCUCCAUGCCGCGGCGUCACCGGCGUCACCGCGGCCCCCCCAUGGCCGUGGGCCUGACCUGGGGGAGAAGCCCCGUUAACGGACGGAUGGGGGGGGGGGCGCUGGGAGCCGGGGGCCCCCCCAGCGCGCCCCACGCCGUCCCCGUGUCACCCACGUCACCGCCCGCCGGCUUCCGGCCCCGCUACCGGGGCAGGAAGGGGGGAUGGGAGGGAGGAAACCCUGUGCCCCCCCACAC
rnacentral:lncRNA from 1 species